rnacentral:rRNA from 1 species
AAUGAACGCUGGCGGCAGGCCUAACACAUGCAAGUCGAACGGAUCCUUCGGGAUUAGUGGCGGACGGGUGAGUAACGCGUGGGAACAUACCCAAAGGUACGGAAUAGCCUCGGGAAACUGGGAGUAAUGCCGUAUGUGCUCGAAAGAGGAAAGAUUUAUCGCCUUUGGAUUGGCCCGCGUUGGAUUAGGUAGUUGGUGGGGUAAUGGCCUACCAAGCCGACGAUCCAUAGCUGGUUUGAGAGGAUGAUCAGCCACACUGGGACUGAGACACGGCCCAGACUCCUACGGGAGGCAGCAGUGGGGAAUCUUAGACAAUGGGGGAAACCCUGAUCUAGCCAUGCCGCGUGAUCGAUGAAGGCCUUAGGGUUGUAAAGAUCUUUCAGGUGGGAAGAUAAUGACUGUACCGCCAGAAGAAGCCCCGGCUAACUCCGUGCCAGCAGCCGCAGUAA